UAACGCGUAGGUAACCUGCCUGGUAGCGGGGGAUAACUAUUGGAAACGAUAGCUAAUACCGCAUAAGAGUAGAUGUUGCAUGACAUUUGCUUAAAAGGUGUAAUUGCAUCACUACCAGAUGGACCUGCGUUGUAUUAGCUAGUUGGUGGGGUAACGGCUCACCAAGGCGACGAUACAUAGCCGACCUAAGAGGGUGAUCGGCCACACUGGGACUGAGACACGGCCCAG
rnacentral:rRNA from 1 species